UAGGGAAUCUUCGGCAAUGGGGGGAACCCUGACCGAGCAACGCCGCGUGAGUGAAGAAGGUUUUCGGAUCGUAAAGCUCUGUUGUUAGAGAAGAACAGCGCAUAGAGUAACUGUUAUGCGUGUGACGGUAUCUAACCAGAAAGGGACGGCUAACUACGUGCCAGCAGCCGCGGUAAUACGUAGGUCCCGAGCGUUGUCCGGAUUUAUUGGGCGUAAAGCGAGCGCAGGCGGUUAGAUAAGUCUGAAGUUAAAGGCAGUGGCUCAACCAUUGUAGGCUUUGGAAACUGUUUAACUUGAGUGCAGAAGGGGAGAGUGGAAUUCCAUGUGUAACGGUGAAAUGCGUAGAUAUAUGGAGGAACACCGGUGGCGAAAGCGGCUCUCUGGUCUGUAACUGACGCUGAGGCUCGAAAGCGUGGUGAGCGAACAGG
rnacentral:rRNA from 1 species